CAUUGAGCCAAACUGGUCCUGGCAAUUGAAGGGUUUUUUAUGCGAGCACUAGGCCUAUCCUAGGGAUGGGUAGAGUACCAAUACUACUUCAGCCAGGGAACGCCCUCUGCAAUGGAAGCUGAAGGAAUGAGAGAGGCCCUGAUCAAUCUUUAUACAAAUGCAAAGUGAUACAGAUAAACAGGUGAGCCAGUGAUGCUCUUAGAGGUUGGGCAGGGGAUGGGGUUGAUCUCUGUCUAACCUUGACUUGCUUAUCUUUCCCUUCAGGAUGUUUAGCUUGGUCACUCCCGGGGAGCACGUUCUUACUCAUCUCUAACCCCCUGGUAUCCAGCCCAAUGCCCAGACCCGAGAAGACCAAGGAGACAUGGCCACUGAAUGCAGCGUGGUGCCCUGAAUUGCAGCCUGGAGCAGAAAAAGGACAUAAGUGGGGAAAAUGGUAAAAUGCAAGAAUAUGUAACAAUGGGAAUAAGAAGUCAAAGAAAAGCCGUGAAGGAAGAGUUUAAGCAAUAUAUCGGAUUUCCAAAAGGAGCUGCGGCCCAGGUGGGUGACCCUUAUUCAUUCUCCCAAAAAAGAUGGGCGGUCCUGCAGAAACCUCAACACUGAAAAGGCCAGGAGGGAGCCUGCAACCAGUGCUUUCCUGUGAGGGGAGUGUGCGCGAUGGAAGAAUCACAGACUGGAAAGUCAGAGAGACCUGCGUUUGUGGUUAUGACUCAGCGUCUGCCAGGAGGGAGCCCUCACUGGGACUCAGUCUCCUCAGCUGUAAGCCAGGUUCUCAUGGCAACUCCGAAAGGUCGAUGAACACCAUCCACCCAGCCACCCUUUUGUACAGAGAAAGCCAAGAUACAGGAGGAGGGGAGGAGCAGAAUUAGCCAUGAGGAGCAGCCUGUAUGCCAAGCACCAGGGCCUGGAGCAGACUGACACCCGGAGCACCAGCCUCUGCAGCCGGUGAUUCUUUGGUAAAGAAAUCACUUUCCCAAAUCCUCCAGCCCAGCAGCCGCUUUGGCUUAGGUCUGCCGUCUUCAGUCUCUUUAACGGCCCCUGUCACGAUGUGUAUGGUGCAGUUUUCCAACUCUGGAUCCACACCCUCAGCUGGAGAGUCAGCAGCAUCACCUCGAUGGCUCCCUGCUCCCUUCGCCCUCCGAGGAGCAGCUGUUUCUGGGCGCUGCUGCCCGCCUGCCACAGCUGCUGCGCUUCUAGCCAGCAGCCUCCCGUGGGCGGUCAGAGGCGCCUCACCGGCCGGAUACACGCACGGGCUGAGAGUUUGCCACCGAGGUAACGGCCACAUCAUCAGGCGACUGUGCGUGUAGCCUGUUUCCCAAGUUCCGGCUUUACCAGAAGGA